rnacentral:rRNA from 1 species
AUUGAACGCUGGCGACAGGCCUAACACAUGCAAGUCGAACGGUAACAGAAAGCAGCUUGCUGCUUUGCUGACGAGUGGCGGACGGGUGAGUAAUGUCUGGGAAACUGCCUGAUGGAGGGGGAUAACUACUGGAAACGGUAGCUAAUACCGCAUAACGUUGCAAGACCAAAGAGGGGGACCUUCGGGCCUCUUGCCAUCGGAUGUGCCCAGAUGGGAUUAGCUAGUAGGUGGGGUAAAGGCUCACCUAGGCGACGAUCCCUAGCUGGUCUGAGAGGAUGACCAGCCACACUGGAACUGAGACACGGUCCAGACUCCUACGGGAGGCAGCAGUGGGGAAUAUUGCACAAUGGGCGCAAGCCUGAUGCAGCCAUGCCGCGUGUGUGAAGAAGGCCUUCGGGUUGUAAAGUACUUUCAGCGGGGAGGAAGGGAGUAAAGUUAAUACCUUUGCUCAUUGACGUUACCCGCAGAAGAAGCACCGGCUAACUCCGUG